rnacentral:rRNA from 1 species
CAGUCGAACGAAGCACUUUUUUAGAUUUCCUUCGGGGAAGAAGAAAUUGUGACUGAGUGGCGGACGGGUGAGUAACGCGUGGGCAACCUGCCCCAUACAGGGGGAUAACAGCCGGAAACGGCUGCUAAAACCGCAUAAGCGCACAAGGGCCGCAUGGCCUGGUGUGAAAAACUCCGGUGGUAUGGGAUGGGCCCGCGUCUGAUUAGCUAGUUGGCGGGGGAGAGGCCCACCAAGGCGACGAUCAGUAGCCGACCUGAGAGGGUGGCCGGCCACAUUGGGACUGAGACACGGCCCAAACUCCUACGGGAGGCAGCAGUGGGGAAUAUUGCACAAUGGGGGAAACCCUGAUGCAGCGACGCCGCGUGAGCGAAGAAGUAUUUCGGUAUGUAAAGCUCUAUCAGCAGGGAAGAAAAAUGACGGUACCUGAGUAAGAAGCACCGGCUAAAUACGUGCCAGCAGCCGCGGUAAUACGUAUGGUGCAAGCGUUAUCCGGAUUUACUGGGUGUAAAGGGAGCGCAGGCGGUGCGGCAAGUCUGAUGUGAAAGCCCGGGGCUCAACCCCGGGACUGCAUUGGAAACUACCGAACUAGAGUGUCGGAGAGGUAAGUGGAAUUCCUAGUGUAGCGGUGAAAUGCGUAGAUAUUAGGAGGAACACCAGUGGCGAAGGCGGCUUACUGGACGAUAACUGACGCUGAGGCUCGAAAGCGUGGGGAGCAAACAGGAUUAGAUACCCUGGUAGUCCACGCCGUAAACGAU